UACGGGGGGGGGCAAGCGUUAUUCGUCAUGACUGGGCGUAAAGGGUUUGUAGGUGGUGUAAUUUAUUUUUUUGAGAAAGGGAUGUAAAAUGUCCAGUUCAAAUUAUAUAAUUAUUUCUAGAGUUUAAUGGAAGAAAAAAGGUAUUCUUGGAGGAAAGGUGAAAUUUUUUAAUACCGAUGGGGACAACCGAGUGGCGAAAGCAUUUUUCUAUGUAAACUGACAUUGAGGGACGAAGGUAUAGGGUUCGAACGGGAU
rnacentral:rRNA from 1 species